rnacentral:rRNA from 1 species
GACGAACGCUGGCGGCGUGCUUAACACAUGCAAGUCGAACGCGUUGCGAACGGGUGAGUAACACGUGGGUGAUCUGCCUUGCACUUCGUGAUCAGCCUGGGAAACUGGGUCUAAUACCGGAUAGUGCAGGAUGAGCCCGCGGCCUAUCAGCUUGUUGGUGGGGUAAUGGCUACCAGGGCGCGACGGGUAGCCGGCCGGAGAGGGGGUACGGCCACAUUGGGACGGAGACACGGGCCAGACUCGUACGGGAGGGAGAAGGGGGGAAUAUUGGACAAUGGGCGCAAGCCUGAUGCAGCGACGCCGGGUGGGGGAUGAAGGCCUUCGGGUUGUAAACUCCUGUCGCUAGGGAAGCGGUACCUGGAUAAGAAGCACCGGCUAACUACGUGCCAGCAGCCGCGGUAAUUC